CCAGGUGUGUCCAGGUGUGUGCAGGUGUGACCAGGUGUGACCAGGUGUGUGCAGGUGUGACCAGGUGUGUGCAGGUGUGACCAGGUGUAUGCAGGUGUGACCAGGUGUGACCAGGUGUGUGCAGGUGUGACCAGGUGUGUGCAGGUGCGACCAGGUGUGUGCAGGUGUGACCAGGUGUGACCAGGUGUGUCCAGGUGUGUGCAGGUGUGACCAGGUGUGUGCAGGUGUGACCAGGUGUGUGCAGGUGUGUGCAGGUGUGACCAGGUGUGUGCAGGUGUGACCAGGUGUGUGCAGGUGUGACCAGGUGUGUGCAGGUGUGACCAGGUGUGACCAGGUGUAUGCAGGUGUGACCAGGUGUGACCAGGUGUGUGCAGGUGUGACCAGGUGUGACCAGGUGUGUGCAGGUGUGACCAGGUGUGUGCAGGUGUGUGCAGGUGUGACCAGGUGUGUGCAGGUGUGACCAGGUGUGUGCAGGUGUGUCCAGGUGUGACCAGGUGUGACCAGGUGUGUGCAGGUGUGACCAGGUGUGACCAGGCGUGUGCAGGUGUGACCAGGUGUGUUCAGGUGUGACCAGGUGUGUGCAGGUGUGUGACCAGGUGUGUGCAGGUGUGACCAGGUGUGUGCAGGUGUAACCAGGUGUGUGCAGGUGUGACCAGGUGUGUGCAGGUGUGUGCAGAUGUGGUGUGAAUGAUGAGACGAAGGUGAGUCUCAGGACUGACAUGGAUGUGAGGAAGAUUAGACCAGUAACUAACUAUGCCACGCCAUUGCUAACGUGAGUGGGAAGCGGAUGAACGAUGUGGUCGGUGGAGCAGUGGCCCACAGCCCGGCCUUGCUGCCAGACACAGAUUCCAUCAAUUCUGCUUCUUCAUUUACAUGAAUCUGUGAUAAUGCUGGAGGUAUAACUGGCAAUCCACACAGUGGGAAUAUCCCAGCCCUGUACUUCAUUGGAAUCUACCAUCUAUCGAUCGCCCUGAAUAAGUAUUUUCUGCAGUUUACCUCAAACACUCCAAGACAAACCGGUUUGUAAGGAAAGGCACAAAAUGCUGGAGUAACUCAGCGGGACAGGCAGCAUCUCUGGAGAGAAGGAAUGGGUGAUGUUUCGGGUCGAGACCCUUCUUCAAUCUGAAGAGAUGCUGCCUCUCCCGCUGAGUUACUCCAGCUUUUUGUGUCUAUCUUCGUUUUAAACCGGCAUCUGCAGUUCCUUCCGACACAGGUCUAAUUGGUAAUUGGCUUGGUAUAAAUGUAAAUUGUCCCUAGUGUGUGCAGGGUAGCAUUAGUGUGCGGGGAUCGCUGUAUGGCACGGGCUCUGUGGACCGAUGGGGCCUGUUUCCGAGCUGUAUCUCUAAACUAAACUAAAUAUGAAAAGCCUGCCACAAUUAAAUCAAAACUUGACAAAUGAUAAAUAAUUGCAUUUGGCUUCAAGCGAAGGCUAAUGUGGUCGUCAGUUUGAACCCAGACAUUAAGGGUAGACAAAAAUGCUGGAGAAACUCAGUGGGCGAGGCAGCAUCUAUGGAGCGAAGGAAUAGGUGGUCUUUUGGGUCGAGACCCUUCUAGAAACGUCACCUAUUCCUUCGUUCCAUAGACCCUGCCUCACCCGCUGAGUUUCUCCAGCAUUUAUGUCUACCGUUGAUUUUUCCAGCAUCUGCAGUCCAUUUUUAAACAUGAAACACUGACAUUAAACACCGUGCCAAUGCAGCCCGUGAAGCGGACAGCUACGUUUUUAAAGGGCGCCACGGGCUGCAGACAACUCCAGCAUAUCCCGACCUUGUGUUCCUUGCACCCACCCAGCCUUUUGCCAUCCACCUUCUGCUUCACCUGAAUUUACCAUCAGUCCCCAAGUACAAAAUGCCUGUCGAUCGCCGAGAGGAAUGUGAAAUUGUAGCUGUUUAUUGGACAGUAUUUCACCCUCUCACAGCCGUGUCCUUGAUUGCAUUGUGUUGAGUCAGUGAUUCCCUCUGCCUUGGACUUUGCCUUCCACUGAGAAGCUUCUUGUGAUGGAGGCAGCAUGUUAGAUAGUAUGAAGAUGUGUGUUGAGGUCAUGUGAUAGGAGCAGAAUAAGGCCAUUCGGCCCGUCAAGACUACUCUACUCCGCCAUUCAAUCAUGGCUGAUCUAUCUCUCCCUCCCUCCUAACCCCAUUCUCCCCACAACCCGUGCACAAGAGUGUGAUGUAAUGGAAGUGUUGUACUUCACUCCCAGCCCCGACUGUUUUGCCCUCUCUCCCCCCA